rnacentral:rRNA from 1 species
CCUACUACAUGGAUAACUGUGGUAAUUCUAGAGCUAAUACAUGCUAAAAAUCCCGACUUCGGAAGGGAUGUAUUUAUUAGAUUAAAAACCAAUGCCCUUCGGGGCUCUCUGGUGAUUCAUAAUAACUGCUCGAAUCGCAUGGCCUUGCGCCGGCGAUGGCUCAUUCAAAUUUCUGCCCUAUCAACUUUCGACGGCUGGGUCUUGGCCAGCCAUGGUGACAACGGGUAACGGAGGGUUAGGGCUCGACCCCGGAGAAGGAGCCUGAGAGACGGCUACUACAUCCAAGGAAGGCAGCAGGCGCGCAAAUUACCCAAUCCCAAUUCGGGGAGGUAGUGACAAUAAAUACUGAUACAGGGCUCUUUUGGGUCUUGUAAUCGGAAUGAGAACAAUUUAAAUCCCUUAACGAGGAACAAUUGGAGGGCAAGUCUGGUGCCAGCAGCCGCGGUAAUUCCAGCUCCAAUAGCGUAUAUUAAAGUUGUUGCAGUUAAAAAGCUCGUAGUUGAACCUUGGGCCUGGCUGGCCGGUCCGCCUCACCGCGUGCACUGGUCCGGCCGGGCCUUUCCCUCUGGGGAGCCGCAUGCCCUUCACUGGGCGUGUCGGGGAACCAGGACUUUUACUGUGAAAAAAUUAGAGUGUUCAAAGCAGGCCUAUGCUCGAAUACAUUAGCAUGGAAUAAUAGAAUAGGACGUGUGGUUCUAUUUUGUUGGUUUCUAGGACCGCCGUAAUGAUUAAUAGGGACAGUCGGGGGCGUCAGUAUUCAAUUGUCAGAGGUGAAAUUCUUGGAUUUAUUGAAGACUAACUGCUGCGAAAGCGUUCGCCAAGGAUGUUUUCAUUAAUCAGGAACGAAAGUUAGGGGAUCGAAGACGAUCAGAUACCGUCGUAGUCUUAACCAUAAACUAUGCCGACUCGGG